UCCCUGGGGGCUCAGAGGUUAGAGCAUCUGCCUGCAAUGCAGGAGACCUGGGUUCAGUCCCUGGGUUGGGAA
rfam:Ovis aries breed Texel chromosome 6, whole genome shotgun sequence.